UCUGGACCUGCUCUGACAUCCGUGCCACGUGGGGGGGGGUGGUCGUGUCUCGUUUAGAAAUGAGAUGAUGGCAGUGGCAUCCUGUGGAAUAUGGGUCUAAGCGCCGUCCCCCGUUGCUCCCCGUGGAGCGGCGUCUCACGCCAGCACCAAGAGCGAGGACAUUCCUGAGGUACACAGGCACGUCAUCUGCCCCUCGCCAGGAGCACUUCUGUGUUGCGGGCCUGGAUUUGCUAUAUUUUCCUGCCUAAUAUGACAGGCUUAGCAUUGAGCCUGCUCUCAAAUCAGACGUUAGUCUAAGUAAAGACCUCUUCUCAGCGCAGUGCUCUUGAAAGCUUUCAUGCUGCCUCGUAACUUCUCCCGGACCGGCGACCGCUGCCUUUAAAACCGGGCCUUUGUCUUGAGGAGCCUGAGUUUGUAAUCAAGAUUGAACCAGUGCCGUGGUCUUUUUCCUGUGCCGAGUUCUGGACGAAUGAAAAUGAGCACGAUGGCAGAAUUCUCGGGUUCGCUUCUGUUUUCUUUAUUUCUGCACAUAGUUUUAAUUCUGUUACUGGGGGGGGAGAAAACAGCAUAAAUAAUCUUUGAACUAUGCAGUCUAGAAUUAUGUGGUGUCAUUAAACAUGUGUUUCCCUCUGUGGUGGGUUAACUGGAGAGGCACUGACGGUAAUUCUGGAAGAGACCUCUUUUCCCCUACUUGCGAUCAAGCUACGUAAAUAAGACGUGUAAACAUAGAAAGUCGCGAGUAGCUGCUUUGGAAACUGCCCCCUCCCUCAAAAGCUGUUUCCGGACACAUGAAUGGCUUCUAGAUAAUCCUUUGUAGUAGUAUUUCUAUAGCCUGCUGUUUUUUUUUUUUUUUUAGUAAUGGCUGUUUUCUGGCCUCUGUUGGCCCGCUGUUGUAUCGGGAUCUCCGUUUAAGCGUCCCCAGCUAACUGGUCGCCUGCUGUUGGCUCAAACCCGCCAACUUGCACCUUUUCAUGUGACGUUGAUACACAGGACGUCAUUCACAGUUAAUGCAGAGCACCGUGUCUGAAUGAGCUGAUCUGAGCCGAUGGCGUUUGGCUGGGACAUGCACCCCUACGCCCGAUGGGACGAGGUAUCCAGCAUUUGGUGCAGGAACGCUGUUAGCCUGCACUCUGGAACAUUUCACAUCAGCCCGUGCUGGGCCUUCCGUGCGUGAUGCAGGACAUUGCCAGAACAAUGGGGUGAUGUCAGAGCCUGGUGAGGCCCCUGUGAUGCCCUUUCCUGUUUGGGGCCAGUCGCCUGGGAGCCACCCCGAACAGCAGCAGGCUAUUAGGACAAACUGAGAGCUUAAACGUCGCUGAGGUCUUUCCUAAGACACUGUGACGUAGUGCUGGGGAGCAGGUUAUUUGCCGGUCCUUGUUAGCGUCGCUGUGCCGCGCUGUUAGUUGGCAGCGCGUGACAUGCUGCCUGGGAGGUCACAGGCUGGUCGUAACCCAGACCAGAGUGCGGCUCUGUAUGUUCAAAGCUCCAGUCCUGCACCAAACAGGAAAGUUGCCGCGCACCAAGUGAUUCACCAAGCUUGGGAAAGAAGAGCACGAGACGCGGGGAGGCGUGAAGGCUUCUGGGACAGGCGGGGCCAAGGAGACGAGCCCAUCCAUUUGCGAGUGGUCAGUCUGAACUUGUGUAGCGUUCAUUUUGCUCUGUUGCAUCGUUACGAAGCGAGAUCCAUAACGAUGUCCUGGUUCCCCAU